AGCAGCCGCGGUAAUUCCAGCUCCAAUAGCGUAUAUUAAAGUUGUUGCAGUUAAAAAGCUCGUAGUUGAAUUUCGGAAUCUGUCCAUUGGUCGGGCUUCACUGUCCGUACUGGUGUGGUGGGUUCUUACCUUCUGAAUAACCAGCAUGCCAUUCAUUUGGUGCGUUGGGGAAGCAGGACUAUUACCUUGAAAAAUUAGAGUGCUCAAAGCAGGCUAGUGCCUGAAUACAUUAGCAUGGAAUAAUAAAAUAGGACGGCAUGGUUCUAUUUUGUUGGUUUCUAGGAUCACCGUAAUGAUUAAUAGGGAUAGUUGGGGGCAUUAGCAUUCAAUUGUCAGAGGUGAAAUUCUUGGAUUUAUUGAAGACUAACUUCUGCGAAAGCAUUUGCCAAGGAUGUUUUCAUUAAUCAAGAACGAAAGUUAGGGGAUCGAAGACGAUCAGAUACCGUCGUAGUCUUAACCAUAAACUAUGCCGACUAGGGAUCGGACGAUGUUAAUUUUAAUGUACUCGUUCGGUCG
rnacentral:rRNA from 1 species